CAAAUACUCCCUCCGUCCGAAAAUACUUGUCAUCAAAAUGGAUAAAAGGAAAUGUAUCUAGACGUAUUUUAGUUUUAGAUACAUCUCUUUUUAUCCAUUUUGAUGACAAGUAUUUUUGGAUGGAGGGAGGAUUUA
rfam:Triticum aestivum genome assembly, contig: Triticum_aestivum_CS42_TGACv1_scaffold_212050_3AS